AGGAUUAUAAUUUAAAUGAAAAAUAAUUGAAUUGCAAUCAAAAAUUACUUAUUAUAAGUUAAUCUUA
rnacentral:tRNA from 1 species